CUGCCCAGGGUAAGUCGGGACCUAAGGCGAGGCCGACAGGCGUAGUCGAUGGACAACCGGUUGAUAUUCCGGUACCCGCUUUGAAACGCCCAAUAUCGAAUCAGGCGAUGCUAAGUCCGUGAAGCCGCCCCGGAGCCUUCGGGCAAAGGGGAGUGGUGGAGCCGACGAACCAGACUUGUAGUAGGUAAGCGAUGGGGUGACGCAGGAAGGUAGUCCAGCCCGGGCGGUGGUAGUCCCGGGGUAAGGGUGUAGGACGUCACGUAGGCAAAUCCGCGU
rnacentral:ncRNA from 2 species